GACGAACGCUGGCGGCGCGCUUAACACAUGCAAGUCGAGCGAGAACCGGGACUUUGGUCCCGGGGACAGCGGCGAACGGGUGAGUAACACGUGGGUAAUCAACCCUUGGCACCGGGAUAGCCUGAGGAAACUUGGAUUAAUACCGGAUGGCCCCUCCGACUCUCGAGUCGGUCGGGAAAGGUAGCUUAGGCCUCUGGCCGGGGACGAGUUCGCGGCGGAUUAGCUUGUUGGUGGGGUAAUGGCCUACCAAGGCGACGAUCCGUAGCUGGUUUGAGAGGACGAUCAGCCACACUGGGACUGAGACACGGCCCAGACUCCUACGGGAGGCAGCAGUGGGGAAUCUUGCGCAAUGGGCGAAAGCCUGACGCAGCGACGCCGCGUGAGGGAAGAAGGCCUUCGGGUUGUAAACCUCUUUCAGGAGGGACGAAGCUACUCGGGUGAAUAGCCCAGAGGGUGACGGUACUUCCAGAAGAAGCCCCGGCUAACUACGUG
rnacentral:rRNA from 1 species